CUUAUCAAUCAGAGAUGGACUGGCUGCAUAAAAAGGCUGAGUAAUGUUACGGUAAAGUGAAUUUUAAUAAUACAGGUAUGGAAUCAUUCCCAGGGUUCAGAACAUCAAUGGUACUAAUGCAUGUAGCAGGCACCGGAGGCGAAUACUGGUACAGCGGCAGGUGCCAGGAGCAAGUCCCCAGAUUAGCAUGUAGGCUAUGAGCCCCAGAACACCACGAGCAGCGAGCCCUGGUACAGCAUGUGGGCUGUAAUGAUGAUAAUGCUGUUCAAUUUUUAACUUAUUUUUUAACUCUGUGGGUACAGAAGAUCCUAUGGCAGUAUUUGAGGAGAAGAGGAGUUAGCCCUGGUGUCCCCUUCAAUAUUUAUUCCUCAAUCAAUAUCAUAAAACAGAUUAUCUAGUUA